UUUGGUUUGGUUUGGUCUGGUUGUUUCUUUGGUUUGGUUUGGUUUGGUAUUUUUCCAGAACAAAGGCAUGCUGAAAGUCUGCAGCCUUGUUUUUCUUUCAAAGUUUGAACUUUUUUUUCUUGAAACUAAGUAAAAGAAAAACAAACCAUCAUUCCCCCAAGAUGGCUAGAAAACAAUCAUUUACAAUGUCAGUAUGGAAAAGAUGGAGGUUUAAAAAGAAAAGAGUCUGGGGCACAAGAUGAUAUAUACAGUCAUGAAAGCUGGAUGGUAGUAUCACCUGCCUUCUCAGAUAACCUGGAAACCAAGAUUCUGAUUCCCCUGAAGAGACACAGACAGUGAACCAAGACCAUGCUUAACAGUGAUCUUUGAAGUCUCCAAAAAGAUGAUGGGACCCCACAAUGACUAUUCCACCAGGACUAUGAUAACACUACUAAGCUGACAAACACCACCUAAAGAUCAGCUUUGGACUACAAACUCCUCAGGACAAUUUCAAGAUGGCUAGCUGAGAUUAUCAAGCCUCACAGACUACUCUAGUCAAGACUUGAGAUAAGCUCUGCACUUUCCGAUUAUACAGAGACUGGACAACAAAUGAUACAGCUACCUCUCCCAGGACUUGACAAUUAAUCCCAAUUUUCUUUUCAGGAUUCCCUAAAGAUGGAUAAAAGGUGGUUUCCAGUGCAAGUAAAAGCGGCAGGAAUGUCCUGAGCUGGAGUCCUCCGCGAAGCUAUUUGAGACUCCAGCAGGAAUGUUCAGGCAUCCCAGGAUUUCUGGAAGUCUGACAAUAGCAGUGUUCUACUUAUUCACCCCUUGUCCUCUCCACUACAUCGCAGUGCUCCUGUUGACUUGAGAUCCCUUCACACCAAGCCAUGCUAGAAGCUCACUCACCAGCUCCACCAACAACAUGGAAAGGCAGCCCAUGGAAGAAACACCUGCUACCAGGCAUGAUGCACACCGGUGGUCUGGGUAGCCAUGAAUGCCUUUAGACUGACGGAGCACCUCUUAAGCUGAAGGUGUUUCUCUUUAAAUGUGUGACUGUGGUGUGAAUAUGAUCUCCACACUUUAUGGAAGAGUGGUCCUCCCUUGGUAAUUUAUUCUGAAUUCUAUCAUAUUAUAAACACAUUUUGGCACUGCAUACAAAAGCAAGACAGUCUAGCUCAUACUGGUGCCUUUUGAAGAAACUGUUUUAAAUGAAUUUAUAUGGCAAACAUACUUACACUGUAUAAUACAGAUGUCAUUUUAAGUCAUAAAAUAAAAAUGUAAGCUAUAUAUGAUGUAUGACUAUAUAUAAUAUGUUACGUAUAUAUUAUGUCAGAUACAUAUGACACAUAAAGUCCUCUAGUGUAUAAAGAAGACGCUAAUGAUGGCCUGAUCCAUAGCAACAUAUUCAUUCACUCAUUCAUUUAAAAACACAUAUUGUAUACUAACAUGCUCCAGGAAUAUGGCAGGAGCAUUAUAGAUUAUUUUCUCUUUUUGAGAUCUUAAUGAGCAUGAGUUUGUAAUUGGCUGGCUAGAAAACCUGUAUUCCCACUUCCCAGAGAGGAUGGGGGCAGAACACUUCACUUGCAGGGCUCAUUCCCUUUGAGUGAAGAUUGCCGUUAAGAGUUACGAGGCAAGGGAAGAGAUUUCAGAAAAGCUUAUAGAAGCUCUCUCUGUGUGUGACAAUUCCUCGCCAUCAAUAUGCAUAGAAUGGUUUUCCCAAGUGAGCAGAACAAAAUCCUUUUUGUUUUUUUCCAAAUAAGCAGCCUCUCAUGGGAAAGAAGGUAGAGUGGCAUCCCAGCUGGCAAGCACACAUCUAUUUCCAACGGGGCAUAAAAUCCACUUGACGU